rnacentral:rRNA from 1 species
AUACAUGCAGUAGAACGCUGAGGAGGAGCUUGCUCUUCUGGAUGAGUUGCGAACGGGUGAGUAACGCGUAGGUAACCUGCCUGGUAGCGGGGGAUAACUAUUGGAAACGAUAGCUAAUACCGCAUAACAGUAGAUGUUGCAUGACAUUUACUCAAAAGGUGCAAUUGCAUCACUACCAGAUGGACCUGCGUUGUAUUAGCUAGUUGGUGGGGUAACGGCUCACCAAGGCGACGAUACAUAGCCGACCUGAGAGGGUGAUCGGCCACACUGGGACUGAGACACGGCCCAGACUCCUACGGGAGGCAGCAGUAGGGAAUCUUCGGCAAUGGACGGAAGUCUGACCGAGCAACGCCGCGUGAGUGAAGAAGGUUUUCGGAUCGUAAAGCUCUGUUGUAAGAGAAGAACGAGUGUGAGAGUGGAAAGUUCACACUGUGACGGUAUCUUACCAGAAAGGGACGGCUAACUACGUGCCAGCAGCCGCGGUAAUACGUAGGUCCCGAGCGUUGUCCGGAUUUAUUGGGCGUAAAGCGAGCGCAGGCGGUUAGAUAAGUCUGAAGUUAAAGGCUGUGGCUUAACCAUAGUACGCUUUGGAAACUGUUUAACUUGAGUGCAAGAGGGGAGAGUGGAAUUCCAUGUGUAGCGGUGAAAUGCGUAGAUAUAUGGAGGAACACCGGUGGCGAAAGCGGCUCUCUGGCUUGUAACUGACGCUGAGGCUCGAAAGCGUGGGGAGCAAACAGGAUUAGAUACCUGGGGU